AACAGGGAUUGCCCUAGUAACGGCGAGUGAAGCGGCAACAGCUCAAAUUUGAAAUCUGGCUCUUUCAGAGUCCGAGUUGUAAUUUGCAGAGGGCGCUUUGGCUUUGGCAGCGGUCCAAGUUCCUUGGAACAGGACGUCACAGAGGGUGAGAAUCCCGUACGUGGUCGCUAGCUAUUGCCGUGUAAAGCCCCUUCGACGAGUCGAGUUGUUUGGGAAUGCAGCUCUAAAUGGGAGGUAAAUUUCUUCUAAAGCUAAAUAUUGGCCAGAGACCGAUAGCGCACAAGUAGAGUGAUCGAAAGAUGAAAAGCACUUUGGAAAGAGAGUCAAACAGCACGUGAAAUUGUUGAAAGGGAAGCGCUUGCAGCCAGACUUGCUUGCAGUUGCUCAUCCGGGCUUUUGCCCGGUGCACUCUUCUGUAGGCAGGCCAGCAUCAGUUUGGGCGGUGGGAUAAAGGUCUCUGUCACGUACCUCUCUUCGGGGAGGCCUUAUAGGGGAGACGACAUACCACCAGCCUAGACUGAGGUCCGCGCAUCUGCUAGGAUGCUGGCGUAAUGGCUGUAAGCGGCCCGUCUUGAAACACGGACCAAGGAGUCUAACAUCUAUGCGAGUGUUUGGGUGUCAAGCCCGAGCGCGUAAUGAAAGUGAACGGAGGUGGGAACCCGCAAGGGUGCACCAUCGACCGAUCCUGAAGUUUACGGAAGGAUUUGAGUAAGAGCAUGGCUGUUGGGACCCGAAAGAUGGUGAACUAUGCUUGAAUAGGGUGAAGCCAGAGGAAACUCUGGUGGAGGCUCGCAGCGGUUCUGACGUGCAAAUCGAUCGUCAAAUUUGGGCAUAGGGGCGAAAGACUAAUCGAACU
rnacentral:rRNA from 1 species